UAGGAAAUUUCUAUAUUUAUUAUGUGAAUGUAAAAGUGUCAGUAUUUGCGGUAUCAGCGAUAUUUGCUAGAAAUCGAUUUACAAAGAAAUGUUAAUAAUCGUAAUAGUCGUGCCGUUGUUUAUCUUUGGCAUGUGGAGACUCUCUGUCGUUGUAUGGACAGAGCCGCUAGUUUGUGGACAGAGCAGCUAGUGUGUGGAAGAGUCAGUUGUGUGGACAGAGCCGCUAGAGUGAGGAAGGGUCAGUUGUGGACAGAGCAGCUAGUUGUGUGGACAGAGCCGCUAGAGUGAGGAAGGGUCAGUUGUGGACAGAGCAGCUAGUUGUGUGGACAGAGCCGCUAGAGUGAGGAAGGGUCAGUUGUGGACAGAGCAGCUAGUGUGUGGAAGAGUCAUUGUGUGGACAGAGCCGCUAGAGUGAGGAAGGGUCAGUUGUGGACAGAGCAGCUAGUUGUGUGGACAGAGCCGCUAGAGUGAGGAAGGGUCAGUUGUGGACAGAGCAGCUAGUUGUGUGGACAGAGCCGCUAGAGUGAGGAAGGGUCAGUUGUGGACAGAGCAGCUAGUGUGUGGAAGAGUCAUUGUGUGGACAGAGCCGCUAGAGUGAGGAAGGGUCAGUUGUGGACAGAGCAGCUGAAGUGAGGAAGAAGUGAGGAAGUGUUAAUCCUUGAUCGCUCUAGCAGACGCGAUGUGCAGCUACGCUCGCGCCCAUUAGACGCGCCUGAUUCAUUAACCCGCAUUGUGGGCACUAAAGGUUGUGUAUGCA